GCACUCUACCACCAUGAAUCCACUCCUGAUCCUUGCCUUUGUGGGAGCUGCUGUUGCUGUCCCCUUUGAUGAUGAUGACAAGAUCGUUGGGGGCUACACCUGUGAGGAGAAUUCUGUCCCCUACCAGGUGUCCUUGAAUUCUGGCUCCCACUUCUGCGGUGGCUCCCUCAUCAGCGAACAGUGGGUGGUGUCAGCAGGUCACUGCUACAAGCCGUAAGUGUGGUGCCACUGACUGCAAAGCUCCCAGCCAGGCUGCCUGGGAGAGCUUGGCUUCAGCCCAGAGAACUACUGAGGUUGGGUAAGAUGGAUGGGAGAGGUGGUGGAGAAAAAACUUGUUUUCAGCAGCUGACUCUCCAGAGCAGAGAGUGAACACAAGACAGGAAGCUCUCACACCCAGACAAAUCCAUGAAACAGCAAGGGUUGUGGUCAUAAAAGCAGGCAGGGAUGAUCUUGGGGUGGUGAGAGCUAGUGAGAAAAGCAGGAAAGUACCUUUAGCUAGUUAGCUACACCUUAAAGCCACCUAAGAAAGAGUUUUUAAAAAUACUGAUGCCUGUGUC
rnacentral:lncRNA from 1 species